AGAGUUUGAUCCUGGCUCAGGACGAACGCUGGCGGCACGCUUAACACAUGCAAGUCGAACGAGAGAAGAGGAGCUUGCUUUUCUGAUCUAGUGGCGGACGGGUGAGUAACACGUGAGCAAUCUGCCUUUCAGAGGGGGAUACCGAUUGGAAACGAUCGUUAAUACCGCAUAACAUAAUUGAACCGCAUGAUUUGAUUAUCAAAGAUUUAUCGCUGAAAGAUGAGCUCGCGUCUGAUUAGCUAGUUGGUAAGGUAACGGCUUACCAAGGCGACGAUCAGUAGCCGGACUGAGAGGUUGAUCGGCCACAUUGGGACUGAGACACGGCCCAGACUCCUACGGGAGGCAGCAGUGGGGAAUAUUGCACAAUGGAGGAAACUCUGAUGCAGCGAUGCCGCGUGAGGGAAGAAGGUUUUAGGAUUGUAAACCUCUGUCUUCAGGGACGAAAAAAGACGGUACCUGAGGAGGAAGCUCCGGCUAACUACGUGCCAGCAGCCGCGGUAAUACGUAGGGAGCGAGCGUUGUCCGGAAUUACUGGGUGUAAAGGGAGCGUAGGCGGGAUCGCAAGUCAGAUGUGAAAACUAUGGGCUUAACCCAUAAACUGCAUUUGAAACUGUGGUUCUUGAGUGAAGUAGAGGUAAGCGGAAUUCCUAGUGUAGCGGUGAAAUGCGUAGAUAUUAGGAGGAACAUCAGUGGCGAAGGCGGCUUACUGGGCUUUAACUGACGCUGAGGCUCGAAAGCGUGGGGAGCAAACAGGAUUAGAUACCCUGGUAGUCCACGCCGUAAACGAUGAUUACUAGGUGUGGGGGGACUGACCCCUUCCGUGCCGCAGCAAACGCAAUAAGUAAUCCACCUGGGGAGUACGACCGCAAGGUUGAAACUCAAAGGAAUUGACGGGGGCCCGCACAAGCAGUGGAGUAUGUGGAUUAAUUCGAAGCAACGCGAAGAACCUUACCAGGUCUUGACAUCGUAUGCAUAGCUCAGAGAUGAGUGAAAUCUCUUCGGAGACAUAUAGACAGGUGGUGCAUGGUUGUCGUCAGCUCGUGUCGUGAGAUGUUGGGUUAAGUCCCGCAACGAGCGCAACCCUUACUGUUAGUUGCUACGCAAGAGCACUCUAGCAGGACUGCCGUUGACAAAACGGAGGAAGGUGGGGAUGACGUCAAAUCAUCAUGCCCCUUAUGACCUGGGCCUCACACGUACUACAAUGGCUGUCAACAGAGGGAAGCAAAGCCGCGAGGUGGAGCGAACCCCUAAAAGCAGUCUUAGUUCGGAUUGUAGGCUGCAACCCGCCUACAUGAAGUCGGAAUUGCUAGUAAUCGCAGAUCAGCAUGCUGCGGUGAAUACGUUCCCGGGCCUUGUACACACCGCCCGUCACGCCAUGGGAGUCGGUAACACCCAAAGCCUGUAGUCUAACCGCAAGGAGGACGCAGUCGAAGGUGGGAUUGAUGACUGGGGUGAAGUCGUAACAAGGUA
rnacentral:rRNA from 1 species